AUUGAACGCUGGCGGCAGGCCUAACACAUGCAAGUCGAGCGGUAGAGAGAAGCUUGCUUCUCUUGAGAGCGGCGGACGGGUGAGUAAUGCCUAGGAAUCUGCCUGAUAGUGGGGGAUAACGUCCGGAAACGGACGCUAAUACCGCAUACGUCCUACGGGAGAAAGUGGGGGCUCUUCGGACCUCACGCUAUCAGAUGAGCCUAGGUCGGAUUAGCUAGUUGGUGAGGUAAUGGCUCACCAAGGCGACGAUCCGUAACUGGUCUGAGAGGAUGAUCAGUCACACUGGAACUGAGACACGGUCCAGACUCCUACGGGAGGCAGCAGUGGGGAAUAUUGGACAAUGGGCGAAAGCCUGAUCCAGCCAUGCCGCGUGUGUGAAGAAGGUCUUCGGAUUGUAAAGCACUUUAAGUUGGGAGGAAGGGUCGUUACCUAAUACGUGGCGAUUUUGACGUUACCGACAGAAUAAGCACCGGCUAACUCUGUGCCAGCAGCCGCCGUAACAC
rnacentral:rRNA from 1 species